AACGCAUCUUGCGCUCCUUGGUAUUCCGAGGAGCAUGCCUGUUUGAGUGUCAUUUAAAAUUCUCAAACCCACUUGACGUGGCUUUGGAUGUGGGGGCUUUUGUUUGCAGGCUUUUCUUCUCAAGUCUGCUCCCCUGAAAUGCAUUAGUGGUGUCUGGAGUGGAAACCGCUAGGUGUGAUAAUAAUCGUCUACGCCUUUGGGUAUGCCACAUGAAACAGAUUGUGCUGCUUCCAACACAACCUUUAUGACAAACUUGACCUCAAAUCAGGUAGGACUACCCGCUGAACUUAA
rnacentral:misc_RNA from 1 species